GAGGAGGGGGUUCUCCCCCGCUCGGAGCGCGCGGCUGGGGAAGAAGCUGGCGGGAAGCCGGGCCGCGCGCCGAGGAAUCGAUGAUUCGGCCUGUGGGCCGGGUCACUGCGGCGGGGCCCGGGGAGCGCCGAUAGCAUGGAUAGGCUCAGAGGGGCGCAGGGUUUUGGCGGCUUCCCGAGUUCCCCUCGCCGACCGCCAUGUCACAUCUUACGGAAGAGGCGGGGGCUGCCGCGGAGAGGAUAUUUUUUGUUUUGUUUUGUUUUCACAAGAAUCACCUGGAUGCUUCUAAAGAGGAUGUCUACCAGACCCCAUGCCGCACUAAUUAGCUCAGAAGUGGGAACCCUUCGCUAGCUCCAUGUUUUGUUCACGUGACUCUCAACCUGGUGUGGCCUGGACUCUAGUCCCUGCCUCAAGGAAAGUCCAGACUGACAUAGAAAAUCCCUGCUCACCAGCCUUGACCUUGGGAGAAAGCCCCUGACCUGUGAGUGGACAGAAGGCCUGGUGGUCAGCCCGUGGGAGCCCUGGAGCGUGCACUGCUGGAGCAGCUCAGAAAAAGCUGAGAAGCCAAGACUUGACUGUCAGUCCUGGAGAAUUAGAACAUGCCUGCUAAAUUUCAGUCCACUCUGAGGAAGGGGCAGUGCCCACAAGGAAACCUAGUGGGUGGGGUUCUGGCUGGGACUCAUCUGGAGUUCCCAGGGCAGAUGCCCGGCCCCAGCUUAUAGACCAUGAUGCGGCUGGGCUUCCGUGUCUGAUUCUUAAGUGCCUCAGGUAAACAGACUCUCCUUUGCUUUGCCAGGAGGAAUGACAUUACUAUCAGCAUUGUAAAAGUCUGUGGCCUUUGGGAGAGUAAUUUUACUUCUAAGACUCUCCUCUACAGAGAAGUGUGCACACUGUUCCCAGUGGAGUCUAUAAAGAUAGCAAAGAGCAAAGACUUAAAACAGAAUGGCUCUGGGUUUGAAGUGUUGUGUAUCUAGACAAUGAACAGCCCACCUUUAAACAAGCCCCACAUGGACUGAAGCGGAGGCAGCUCCAAAUGUAUUAGGUGACAGUGCCACAUGGCUCUGUGUGAUGGUAAGAUUAUAUGUGUACAUGUCAUCUCGAAAGGAGAAUUCGGCUUAUCUCUGGGGAGAGAGUCUGCAUCUUUUCUCAUUUGUACCGAGUAUGGAGUGUGUAUCUAUCUCUCUGUCAGAAAUGUCAAGGGAAGGGUUCACCAUUGACCUGAUGCUCACGAAGGUUAGGAACCAAUGCCAACCACAAUGCCCACCUCUACCUUCAGGAGACAGUAAACGCCUUAGAAUACAAAACCCAUAAACAACCAAGACUGUGGUGCCUGCUGGGGCUGGGCCUGAGCUGCACACAGAGGCUAGGUACCGAACAGCUGCCAUGGUAAACUGGCACAGUUAGGCACGCGGCCGGGUUCACACGCCCUCUGCCCUGACUUUAAAGACAGCAGUCUUGGCCCAGCUUCCCUCACCCCCUAUGUAUGAGCAGAGAGCUAUACUUGCUGGGUUUCCAGCUCUUGUAUUUGGACUCCUCUUCUCUUUUCUCUUUUUUGAGAGAGGGUCUCACUGUGUAUUCGUGGCUGCUCUGGAACUUCCUGGACCAGGCUGGCCUUGAUGUAGAUCUCUGCCUUCUAAAAAAUAAAAAUAUGUUUUAUGUG
ensembl:processed_transcript E130307A14Rik RIKEN cDNA E130307A14 gene